rfam:Danio rerio chromosome 25, GRCz11 reference primary assembly.
CCAAAGGCUCUUUUAAGAGCCACCCAUAUUCUCCUUUAAAGAGUUU